UACGUAGGGGGGCAAGCGUUGUCCGGAAUCAUUGGGCGUAAAGAGCGUGUAGGCGGCUUGGCAAGUCUCGCGUGAAAUCUUGCGGCUCAACCGCAAGCUGUCGUGAGAAACUGCCUGGCUAGAAUCCGGAAGAGGAGAGCGGAAUUCCUGGUGUAGCGGUGGAAUGCGCAGAUAUCAGGAAGAACACCCGUGGCGAAGGCGGCUCUCUGGGACGGUAUUGACGCUGAGACGCGAAAGCGUGGGGAGCGAACAGG
rnacentral:rRNA from 1 species